rnacentral:pre_miRNA from 1 species
CAUCUUCCAGUGCAGUGUUGGAUGGUUGAAGUAUGAAGCUCCUAACACUGUCUGGUAAAGAUGGC